rnacentral:lncRNA from 1 species
GCCUGCUGGAAGAUGAGAGACCAUGUGGAGUGGAGCCAAGUCAUCUCAUCCAAGGUCAUUCUAGACCAACCAACCCCCAGCAAACCCAAUAGGUGUUUAUAGAUUCAUGAACAAGUUCAAGUGAGAUUAGCCUAGCCUCGCCCCAGUCAAAAGAACUGACCAGGUGACCCACAGAGUCAUGAGAAAUAAAUGGUGGUUCCUUUAGGCCACUGAGUUUUGGAAUGGUGUGUUAUAUAGAAUUAUUGUGACAGUAACUAAUUUAUGUACAUUGGUACCGAUUUCCUACUGCUUCAUAACAAUUAUUGGAAACUUAGUGGAUUAAAACAACAGAAAUUUAUUAUCUCAUAGUUUCUGAGGGUCAGAGAUUUGGGAGUGGGUUAGCUGGGUCCUCUGCUCUGUUCUUAUUAAGCUGAAAUCAAGAUGUUAGCCAGGACUUCAAUCUCAUCUGAGGUUUGGGGUCCUCUUCCAAGCUCAUUGGUUACUGGAUGAAUUCCAUUCCUUUCACACAGGACUGAGGCCUUCAGUGCCUAGAGGCUGCCUACCGUUUCCUGCCACCCGGGUCCCUCUGAGACUUGGUAGUUUACUUCUUCAAGGCCAACAGAUGAACAUCUGAUGUUUCAAAUCUCUGUGACUUCUUCCGUCUCUGCUAUCUAGGCCCCUUCAUAAAAAUCCAAGCUGAGUAGGUCACGCCCAUCCAGGGUUCUCUCCCUUUUGAUUACCUUAAAGUCAACUGAUUAAAGUCAACUCCUUACUUCUUACUGUGUAAAAUAACUUCAUCACAAAAUCACAUCCCGUUAUAUUUACAGGUCCUAUCCAAAACUUAUGGGGAAGGGACUUCAUAGAGUGUGUGCACUGGGAGAUGGAAAUCUUAGGAGUCAAUUUAGAACCCAAGAUUAUACAAAUAAUUUUUAAAGGCUGCCCGCUGGAGAUCAAGACCGAGCUGAGACCAAGAGUCAGACGCCUAACCGACUGAGCCACUCAGGCACCUUUGUUGUUUUUAAAGAAAACCACCAUACGGUAUGUACAACUUUCCAUCUUUAUUAUUUUACUUAAUAUUCAUCAUUAUACAUUUUUACGUGCAUUUUCUAGCCUUUCAA